CUGGCUAUCACCUGAGCCAUGCUGAAACCGUGAACCUCAGUUUGGGACUUGAACUCACACGCCGGGACUCACACCCAGCCUAAACCCAGAUUGGGACUCAAACCCAUGAGACCGGAACUCAAACCUGACCAAAACCCGAGAUCUUCCAACUGAGUUCACACACCUCGUUUCAGGACUUAAUGAAGCUCAGGUUUUUGAUGUCUCAUCACAGAACGAAUUCAGUGAAGACAAAGUGAUAGCUAAGUCAUCAAAACAGGGGCCAGUUCUAAUGAAGAGCAUACUUAUGAAGAAAUAUGGAUAACACAAAGAGAAAGGAAAGGCAAGAAAAAAAAUUUGCUAAUGAACUACAAGUGGCCAUAAAAUCUGGAAACAUGGGGCUGCCAAGAUCAAUGUGAUGGGCCAACCCACAGCGCAUUCACUGCUAAUGCAGCGUUUCUACCAUUCCUUGCAAAUGAGUCUGUGAUGCCUUGUCUCAUACAAUUUAUCUUUGAUUUUCAUUUUCACUAAUAAACAUGCAUA